GGGGGGGGGGGGGGGGGGGGGGGGGGGGGGGGGGGGGGGGGGGGGGGGGGGGGGGGGGGGGGGGGGGGGGGGGGGGGGGGGGGGGGGGGGGGGGGGCCGGGCGCGGUGACGCGCGCCGUUCCCAUGGCGACCGCGGACGCCGCCGGCCCCGCGCGGGGCGGCGCCAGGCGGGCGGGGCCGGGAAGGGCGGGGGCUCCGGCACCCGGAAUGUGCGGGAGCGGGGCGAGCAGCCGCUCUCCGUGCCAAUGGCCCUGCUUUAGAGCGCUGGGAACCCUCUCUGGAGCGCCUUGGCACGCUCCUGAAGUGUUAAUGAUAAUUUCUACAGUAUCAUCUUUGCUAAUACCUCCAUUCAUGUUUUUAUCCUGGAGAAAGAGAGGAAAAUUGAAGAGGAUAUGUCACCAAUGUGGCAGUAAAAGCACAGACUGAGACUGAAACUAAUGCAAAGGAGGAGAAGGGCAGUGGUGUUUUGAUUUCAAGUGCUGAAAUGGAAAGAUAUUCUGUGCAGCCAAACUGCUCUCAUGUGCAUGUGCACCAGCCAGCCUGUGAUGAAGCUGUACACUAAUGCAAAAAGCUGGAAUACCACCU
rnacentral:lncRNA from 12 species